rnacentral:lncRNA from 1 species
AGUCACCUGACAUUCCUUGGAGCCUAGUCCUUCUCUGCUCUUGUAACCGCCCAAUGGGUUCACCUUGCCUGCUGCCUAGACAGAGCCGAUUCAUCAAGACAGAAGACCUGCAUUUCUCUCCUGAGUCACCUGCACUUGGGUGCCCCAGCUGGAAGAGCAUCUUUAUACCUAUUGCCUUGGGGAGAAACUUGAUGGUUGGGUGCUAGCUGGCUCCACACAGGCCUGAUUCAUGCCUUUGAAAAACUGGCAGUGUCCACUAAACUAACUUGUAAGUAUCUCCUAACACACAGCAUUUCCACCACUAAAUAAAUACUCAACAGAAACAGAUUUGUAUUCACCCGAAGACACUACAGCUUAAAGUUUAUAGCAGCCUUAACCACGUUAGUCCAAUGCUGGAAGAAACUCAAAUAGCCAUCAAAUAAGAAUGGGCAAAUAGACGGUGGCAUGUUCUUGUAAUUAAACACUACACUGCAA